rnacentral:lncRNA from 1 species
GCCAUGCUAAUUAAAUAACUGAGAUAAUGCUUGGCAAUAUUGUUUAUCAUGUCAAGCAAGAGCCGAAUAGGAAAAGGUCAUCCCACGGCACUCAUGAUCAAGAUAAAGAAAAGAUUUUGUCCAGAAAGGAGCCUCUCUAUAAGAGAAAGUAGGGGCAUUAUGGGAAAUUGACUCCAUCUAAUUAAUAAAAGUCCCAUCCCACCAUCUCCCCUUCAAGUGAGUACCCAAGCAGCAACCGCAACAUCACAGCACAGCAGCCA